GACGAACGCUGGCGGCGUGCCUAAUACAUGCAAGUAGAACGCACAGUUUAUACCGUAGCUUGCUACACCAUAAACUGUGAGUUGCGAACGGGUGAGUAACGCGUAGGUAACCUGCCUGGUAGCGGGGGAUAACUAUUGGAAACGAUAGCUAAUACCGCAUAAUAUUGAUUAUUGCAUGAUAAUUGGUUGAAAGAUGCUAUUGCAUCACUACCAGAUGGACCUGCGUUGUAUUAGCUAGUAGGUGAGGUAACGGCUCACCUAGGCGACGAUACAUAGCCGACCUGAGAGGGUGAGCGGCCACACUGGGACUGAGACACGGCCCAGACUCCUACGGGAGGCAGCAGUAGGGAAUCUUCGGCAAUGGACGAAAGUCUGACCGAGCAACGCCGCGUGAGUGAAGAAGGUUGUCGGAUCGGAAAGCUCUGUUGUAAGAGAAGAACGGGUGUGAGAGUGGAAAGUGCACACUGUGACGGUAUCUUACCAGAAAGGGACGGCUAACUACGUG
rnacentral:rRNA from 1 species